rnacentral:rRNA from 1 species
GAUGAACGCUGGCGGCGUGCCUAAUACAUGCAAGUCGAGCGAACAGACGAGGAGCUUGCUCCUCUGACGUUAGCGGCGGACGGGUGAGUAACACGUGGAUAACCUACCUAUAAGACUGGGAUAACUUCGGGAAACCGGAGCUAAUACCGGAUAACAUAUUGAACCGCAUGGUUCAACAGUGAAAGACGGUUUUGCUGUCACUUAUAGAUGGAUCCGCGCCGCAUUAGCUAGUUGGUGAGGUAACGGCUUACCAAGGCAACGAUGCGUAGCCGACCUGAGAGGGUGAUCGGCCACACUGGAACUGAGACACGGUCCAGACUCCUACGGGAGGCAGCAGUAGGGAAUCUUCCGCAAUGGGCGAAAGCCUGACGGAGCAACGCCGCGUGAGUGAUGAAGGUCUUCGGAUCGUAAAACUCUGUUAUUAGGGAAGAACAAAUGUGUAAGUAACUGUGCGCGUCUUGACGGUACCUAAUCAGAAAGCCACGGCUAACUACGUG